CUCCUUUCUGUGUGAGUGUGAGCAGGUGAGGCAGGCUGCAGCAAUCAUCUCCACACCUGCAAUCAUUCAGCAAUCUACCUGGAGUAUUUGAGACCGGCUCUUCUCUGCAGUCGUCGCCAGUUCGUUGUUAACCUUCGUAUGUUUGCAUCUCCGGAACUUCAGCUGCUGACCUGCCUCACCUGCUGCUGUCUGUGCCUGCUGCAGUCUAUCCUCAAGCUGCAUCCUCCUCAGCCUGCUCUGCUCCACUGCCUGCCCCACUCCUCUGACACCCAAUCCUGGAUCUCCCCCCACCCUGCCUCAGUCCAGCUCCGUCCUCUCCCCUGUCCUGGUUAUCUGUGGUAUCCGCCAGUGAGUACUACCUGUCCAUGCGGUCCAACAGCAGUGUUGCUGCCUUGAAUGCAAAAGACCCAGGUUCAAAACCCUCUCUGGACAACUAGUAUAAUUCUCUCGGUGGAGCAAAUAAACCCUUAUUGAACUGA